ACGGAGGGUGCAAGCGUUAAUCGGAAUCACUGGGCGUAAAGCGUGCGUAGGCGGCCUUGUAAGUCGGAUGUGAAAGCCCUCGGCUCAACCGGGGAACUGCAUUCGAUACUGCUUGGCUGGAGUUCGGGAGAGGGUGGCGGAAUUCCAGGUGUAGGAGUGAAAUCCGUAGAUAUCUGGAGGAACACCAGUGGCGAAGGCGGCCACCUGGACCGAUACUGACGCUGAGGUACGAAAGCGUGGGGAGCAAACAG
rnacentral:rRNA from 1 species